rnacentral:lncRNA from 1 species
CAGUUGUUUCAUCGCUGCGAGGUUUGGUGUUCGACGACCUCGCCGUGCGUUUGACGAGCUCUGCCCCUUCGUUCGUGGGUGAGCACAAAUGACAAGUCCUCCUCCCCCAUUAAUUAUUUGAUCUAUUCCGAUGAAACUUGAUAGCUAGCUAUAUAUGUGUCUUGGAUCAUCAGUAUGCGUAACCAAUAUGUGUCUCCCGUUCGAAAGCGUCAUAGUUAUAAAUAUGCAUGCAUUUGCAUAUUUAUAACCUUGAUUCUUUCGAAUUGUCCAACGCUAUCCAUGGACAGCCCGAGUAUGUGUAGAUUGGGUUCGUUUUCCCAUAUGCUUUGCUCCGGAUCCGACGCAUAUAUUUCGUCAGUGCCUCCCCUGUUGUUCUCCGGGUACACAUCCUCUCUGUUUAUUGCAGAGACGUGUAUCAGGAGAACAGCGGGGAGGUGCUGCCGAAAUUUUGCGUCGGAUCCGGAGCAUAGCAUGGGAAAAUGAACCCAAUCUACACAUACACGGGUGGGAUUAGGACCUAUCAUUACCUAUUAGAGUGUAGGUUGCAUGGACGUAAUAAAAUUGACAAAGUAGAUCAACUGAUGAAUAUAUACAUGGUGAAUUACAUAUAUAAUUGUUGUGUGUCCAGUAGCUCUGAAAGUCAAGAUGAGUGACCGUGCUUGGAUGUAUACUGGUCACACUGGUCAGAACAAAUGGAGCGCUGAAUGGUUCACAAAAACUAAGGGGUUUGUGCAAGCCGCAUUUGCAAAUGGCCAAAAGAAAACCUGGUGCCCCUGUUUCCGGUGCGGCAAUUGGGAAAAGAAGACAGAGGCUGAAAUGGGCAAACACCUGCAGAAGAGUGGUUUUACGCCCGAUUAUACGGUGUGGACAUUUCAUGGUGAGUCUGCCCAACAUGACCGAGCUGAGGUGGAUCGUCGUCGCACCGGCGAGCAUGGUACCGGGAUGGAAAACAUGGUGCAUGACUAUGAUGAUGCUUGGGAUUCGGACGAGGAGAUGGAGGAAUCUGCAAAGGCCUUCAAUGAAAUGUUGGAGUCUUCGAAACGUCCGCUCCACGAGCACACUGAGCUUUGUCAGUUGGAUGCCAUCUCACAAGUAAUGGCUCUGAAGGCUCAGUUCAACUUGGGCAGAGAAUGCUAUGACGCAAUUAUGACAGUAUUUGGACGCUUUCUACCCAAAGGCCAUGUAAUGCCUGCAAACCUGUACCAGUCGGACAAAAUCCUCCGUGCACUGAAGAUGCCCUAUGAGAAGAUACAUGCCUGUGAGAAAGGAUGUACCUUAUUUAGGCUUGACUAUGCGGACUUGAACUAUUGUCCCAUUUGCAAGUCUUCCAGGUAUAUUGUGGUAGACAACGGUAUGGGUGAGAAGACACAAACCAAAAUCCCCGUUAGUGUUCUUCGGUAUAUGCCAAUCGUACCAAGACUUCAACGUCUUUUCAUGGUCGAAGAGACGGCCAGACAGAUGACAUGGCACAAAACAGGCAAAAGAAUCGAACUAGAUGCAGAUGGGAAUCUGAUGAUGGUACACACAUCGGAUGGUGUUGCGUGGAAAAAGUUUGAUGAAUUACAUGCUGACAAAGCGGCGGAUCCGAGGCAUCCUCGAGUCGGCAUCAGCACGGAUGGGUUCAGUGUGUUUGGUAUGACGGCAACCCAAUAUAGUUGUUGGCCCGUAUUUGUCUUUCCACUCAAUCUCCCCCCGGACAGAUUAUGCAAAGAAAGAACAUUUUCCUGACGUUGAUAAUUCCAGGACCCAACUAUCCGGGCAAAAAUAUGAAUGUGUACAUGCAGCCGCUUAAGGACGAAUUGCAAGAAGCCUGGGAUAAUGGGUUCAAGACAUACGACGCCUUUAGCAAACGGAACUUCAUAAUGCGUGUCUGGUACAUGUACUCGACGCAUGACUUGCCGGCGUAUGCACUAUUCAUUGGCUGGUGUGUGCAUGGAAGGUUCCCGUGCCACACAUGCAAGGGAGCUCUUGAGUUUCGUUGGCUUCAGGCCGGUCGCAAGUAUUCUUGCUUCGACAUGCAUAGACAGUUCCUGGAUCCUCGCCAUAAGUUCAGGAAAGACAAGAAGAACUUCAUCAGGGGUAGAGUUGUCAAAAACUCUACACCACCUGCAUUGACAGGCCAACAGACCCUGGAUCAGUUAAACGCUCUCGAGCCAGAUCCACAACGUCCAGGGUACUUCAAGGGGUAUAAUACUAAGCACGCGUGGACUCACAAAACAUGCUUACGGGAUCUGCCUUACUUCAAAGACCUCCGGGAUCUGCACGCGUGUAUCAAGAAGACCAAGCCGGCGUGCCGCGAUAAGUUCCUGAGUAAGGAGCAGUACAUGAAGGUAAUUCUUAAGGCCUUCUCUACUUAAGUUCCUUCACUUAGUAAUUCUUAGCCGUAGCGCUCAAGUUUCUAUUUGCUAACUUAGGCGCCUCCGAGAUGGUGUGCGGAUCGGAUGGAUUGUUGGGAGGUGUUGGUCGAUGAGUGGUGCUCACAACAAUGGCUAGCCCUCCACAAGGAGGCCAAGGACAAACGUGCCCAAAUGGAAGGUGUGCCACACCAUCAAGGCAGCUCCAACUUAUAUCAGUUCGGGCGCAACUAGGUAUGUGGUUUGCUUCAUGAUUCAUGCAAUUCAUUCAUCAUGCUAGCUUGAGCCCUUUAAUUACUAAUUUUCAUUGUUUCUCUCUUUCAGGCACGCUACAAUAAGGCGGAUAAGGUGCCAGAGGUGUAUGACCUGUAUGCCAUGGCCCACACUGCCUCUUUCAAGAAAGUCAAGGCUUUCUCUCAGCCUGACCUCGAUGAUGCAAACAACUUCACCAACGUCUCCUCCCACAACAAGCUCGUGAGAUAUAGAGAUGAGGGGAAGGCGAGGAAAGGGGAGGACUUUAACCCGAGCCAGGGUCCCAUUGAUCCAGAGUUGUUGAUGAUAUCUGGUGGUGGGAGGUACCAUGGCUCCAUAGCCAUUGGAGAUGGACUUAUCCGUUGUCCUAGCACUCUCCCGGAGAUCAAGGCGCGCCAGUCGAGCUCCGCUCCUGAGAUAAGGCCUCGUGAACGGCCAGUGCAACUCGCCAUCAAGGUUAGUGAUACGUACUCAGUUAUCUUUCUCCAUUACAUUGUGUGCGCUUCCAUCAAUGAUUACAAAUGGUCAUGUGAGUGGUAUUGCAGGCUGCUAUACAGAGUGAGAGAGAUAGAACGGAGAAACUUCUGGCGGAGGCGGCGGAGAGGUAGCGGGAGUUGGAGGAGAGGACGACAAAGAUGCUGGAGGAGGAGAGGGCACGGAAUGACAUGCAGGCAAGGGCCAUGUACGAGCUCCUUGUGGUAAGUUUCUUCUGCAGAUUAGCCAAAACAUUCAUGUAGUGUUUGUCUCAUUACUAACUAGUAUGACUGAGACGUCAAAACCAAAUGUGCAGUCUGUGUGCGAGAAGACAGGUCAGACCGCUCCGCCAAUGCCAGUGAUUGCUCCUGGGACCACGAUGAGUUUUAUUUGAAUGGACAUUACUUGCUAGUCUUAUCAUUUGAGUGUCAUCAUGCUAACAAGACAUUGGAAAUGAUCUUUGGUGCAGCAUAACUCCAGACAAGCAUCGCACAAUCCUUCUCCGGCUACCGACACGAGCCACCCCGCUCGUACACCUCUUGGAUCUUGGUAAGUUUAUCUAGUGUUUUGCUUAACACAUGCAUAAAGACCUAGACUUAGCUUUAUUUCCUCCAAUGCUUACCAUAAUGACGUAGACUUAGCUUCUUCUCCUCCAAAAUGACUUAAUUAGCUCUUAAAUGAUCCAUUUCACCUAAGUUUGCUCAAAAACGAUCCAUUUGACCUAAAUUAGCUCUUAAAUGAUCCAUUUCACCUAAGUUUGCUCAAAAACGAUCCAUUUCACCUUAGUUAGCUCAAAAACGAUCCAUUUCACCUAAAUUAGCUCUUAAAUGAUCCAUUUCACCUAAGUUUGCUCAAAAACGAUCCAUUUCACCUAAGUUAGCUCAAAAACGAUCCAUUUUACCUUAGUUAGCUCAAAAACGAUUCAUUUCACCUAGUUAGCUAAAAAACGAUCCAUUUCACCUUAGUUAGCUCAAAAAUGAUGCCCUUCACCUUAGUUAGCUCAAAAACGAUUCAUUUCACCUUAGUUAGCUAAAAAACGAUCCAUUUUACCUAAGUUAGCUCAUAAACGAUCUAUUUUACCUAAGUUAGUUCUAAAAUGAUUCAUUUAACCUUACUUAGCUCAUAAAUGAUCCAUUCUACCGAAGUUAGCUCUAAAAUGACCCAUUUUACCUAGGUUAGCUCCAAAAUGAUCCAUCUUACCUAGGUUACCUCUAAAAUGAUGCAUUUUACCUAAGUUUGCUCAUAAGAGAUCCAUUGCACCUAGGUUAGCUCAUAAACGAUCCAUUUCACCUAAGUUAGCUCACAAAUGAUCAAUUUCACCUAAAUUAGCUCAUAAAUGUCAUAUAUAUUCUUCUUCUUCUUCAUUUUCUUCUUCUUCUUCUUCAUUUUCUUCUUCUAACUUUCUUAUUUCCCAUUUUGCAGAAUUCAUUCACUUCACGAAAGCUUGCAUAGAUGGAGUGCUUGUUUGGAUGAACUAUGUUUCCUUUGUAUCUAUGAACUAUGCAUGUAUGGUAGGAUGACACUAUUGUAAUAUGUAUGGUUGGAUGCAUGUAUGUCGAACUUGCUAUGUAUGGUUGAUGGAACUAUGCAUGUAUGAUGAAAUUAUAUGUGUUGGAUAUCUCAUAUGUUUGCUGUGAACUUGCCAUGUGAAAAAUAUAUAUGUAUCAUCU